AGGCCUAACACAUGCAAGUCGAGGGGUAACAGAGAGAAGCUUGCUUUUCUGCUGACGACCGGCGCACGGGUGCGUAACGCGUAUACAAUCUGCCUUAUACAGAGGGAUAGCCUUUAGAAAUGAAGAUUAAUACCUUAUAGUCUAUUUUUAUAGCAUUAUAUAAAUAGUAAAGCUUCGGUGGUAUAAGAUGAGUAUGCGUCCUAUUAGUUAGUUGGUAAGGUAACGGCUUACCAAGACAACGAUAGGUAGGGGCCCUGAGAGGGGGAUCCCCCACACUGGUACUGAGACACGGACCAGACUCCUACGGGAGGCAGCAGUGAGGAAUAUUGGACAAUGGAGGCAACUCUGAUCCAGCCAUGCCGCGUGCAGGAUGACGGCCCUAUGGGUUGUAAACUGCUUUUAUAUAGGAAGAAACCUUUUCACGUGUGAGAAGCUGACGGUACUAUAAGAAUAAGGACCGG
rnacentral:rRNA from 1 species